rnacentral:rRNA from 1 species
GACACGCUGGCGGCGUGCCUCAAACAUGCAAGUCGAGCGGACGGAGACCGAACCGCAAGGGGAGGUUGAAGUUAGCGGCGAACGGGUGAGUAACACGUGGGUAACCUACCCUAAAGUCUGGGACAACGGCCCGAAAGGGCCGCUAAUACCGGAUAAUGUCUUCGGGUCGCAUGGCCUGGGGAAGAAAGCCGAAAGGCGCUUAUGGAUGGGCUCGCGUCCCAUCAGCUAGUUGGUAAGGUAACGGCUUACCAAGGCGACGACGGGUAGCCGGUCUGAGAGGAUGGUCGGCCACACUGGGACUGAGAUACGGCCCAGACUCCUACGGGAGGCAGCAGUUGGGAAUAUUGGGCAAUGGGCGAAAGCCUGACCCAGCGACGCCGCGUGAGGGAAGAAGGCCUUCGGGUCGUAAACCUCUGUCAUCGGGGACGAAGAAAGUGACGGUACCCGAGGAGGAAGCCCCUGCUAACUACGUG